rnacentral:rRNA from 1 species
CAAUAGCGUAUAUUAAAGUUGUUGCAGUUAAAAAGCUCGUAGUUGGAUCUGUGGUGUGCGGUGGGCUCCGGGCACUUGUUGUCUGAGUAGCUCGCCGCUGCCAUCCUUGGGUGGAACCUGUGUGGCAUUAGGUUGUCGUGCAGGGGAUGCCCAUCGUUUACUGUGAAAAAAUUAGAGUGUUCAAAGCAGGCUUAUGCCGUUGAAUAUAUUAGCAUGGAAUAAUGAGAUAGGACUUUUUCGCUAUUUUGUUGGUUUGCGCGAAGAGGUAAUGAUUAAUAGGGACAGUUGGGGGUAUUCGUAUUCCAUUGUCAGAGGUGAAAUUCUUGGAUUUUUGGAAGACGAACUACUGCGAAAGCAUUUACCAAGGAUGUUUUCAUUAA